rnacentral:rRNA from 1 species
CUACAGAGGGUGCGAGCGUUAAUCGGAGUUACUGGGCGUAAAGCGCGCGUAGGCGGCUACUUAAGUCAGAUGUGAAAUCCCCGGGCUCAACCUGGGAACUGCAUCUGAUACUGGGUAGCUAGAGUUUUGGAGAGGGAAGUAGAAUUUCAGGUGUAGCGGUGAAAUGCAUAGAGAUCUGAAGGAAUACCAGUGGCGAAGGCGACUUCCUGGCCAAAAACUGACGCUGAGGUGCGAAAGCGUGGGUAGCAAACGGGAUUAGAAACCCUAGUAGUCC